rnacentral:rRNA from 1 species
GAUGAACGCUGGCGGCGUGCCUAAUACAUGCAAGUCGGGCGAACAGACGAGGAGCUUGCUCCUCUGACGUUAGCGGCGGACGGGUGAGUAACACGUGGAUAACCUACCUAUAAGACUGGGAUAACUUCGGGAAACCGGAGCUAAUACCGGAUAAUAUAUUGAACCGCAUGGUUCAAUAGUGAAAGACGGUUUUGCUGUCACUUAUAGAUGGAUCCGCGCCGCAUUAGCUAGUUGGUAAGGUAACGGCUUACCAAGGCGACGAUGCGUAGCCGACCUGAGAGGGUGAUCGGCCACACUGGAGCUGAGACACGGUCCAGACUCCUACGGGAGGCAGCAGUAGGGAAUCUUCCGCAAUGGGCGAAAGCCUGACGGAGCAACGCCGCGUGAGUGAUGAAGGUCUUCGGAUCGUAAAACUCUGUUAUUAGGGAAGAACAAAUGUGUAAGUAACUAUGCACGUCUUGACGGUACCUAAUCAGAAAGCCACGGCUAACUACGUG